UACGUAGGGUGCGAGCGUUGUCCGGAAUUAUUGGGCGUAAAGAGCUCGUAGGCGGUCUGUCGCGUCGAUCGUGAAAACUUGGGGGCUUAACCCUGAGCUUGCGGUCGAUACGGGCAUGACUGGAGUUCGGCAGGGGAGACUGGAAUUCCUGGUGUAGCGGUGAAAUGCGCAGAUAUCAGGAGGAACACCGGUGGCGAAGGCGGCAUCCUGGACCGAGAUUGACGCUGAGGCGCGAAAGCCAGGGGAGCAAACGGG
rnacentral:rRNA from 1 species